AACAGGAUUAGAUACCCUGGUAGUCCACGCCGUAAACGAUGUCGACUUGGAGGUUGUUCCCUUGAGGAGUGGCUUCCGGAGCUAACGCGUUAAGUCGACCGCCUGGGGAGUACGGCCGCAAGGUUAAAACUCAAAUGAAUUGACGGGGGCCCGCACAAGCGGUGGAGCAUGUGGUUUAAUUCGAUGCAACGCGAAGAACCUUACCUACUCUUGACAUCCACGGAAUUUGGCAGAGAUGUCUUAGUGCCUUCGGGAACCGUGAGACAGGUGCUGCAUGGCUGUCGUCAGCUCGUGUUGUGAAAUGUUGGGUUAAGUCCCGCAACGAGCGCAACCCUUAUCCUUUGUUGCCAGCGAUUCGGUCGGGAACUCAAAGGAGACUGCCGGUGAUAAACCGGAGGAAGGUGGGGAUGACGUCAAGUCAUCAUGGCCCUUACGAGUAGGGCUACACACGUGCUACAAUGGCGCAUACAAAGAGAAGCGACCUCGCGAGAGCAAGCGGACCUCAUAAAGUGCGUCGUAGUCCGGAUCGGAGUCUGCAACUCGACUCCGUGAAGUCGGAAUCGCUAGUAAUCGUGGAUCAGAAUGCCACGGUGAAUACGUUCCCGGGCCUUGUACACACCGCCCGUCACACCAUGGGAGUGGGUUGCAAAAGAAGUAGGUAGCUUAACCUUCGGGAGGGCGCUUACCACUUUGUGAUUCAUGACUGGGGGUGAAGUCGUAACAAGGUAACC
rnacentral:rRNA from 1 species